GCCGGGCGUGGUGGUGCACGCCUUUAAUCCCAGCACUCGGGAGGCAGAGACAGGCGGAUUUCUGAGUUCGAGGCCAGCCUGAUCUACAAAGUGAGUUCCAGGACAGCCAGGGCUAUACAGAGAAACCCUGUCUCAAAAAGCCAAAGAAAAAAAAAAACUCACUCUGUAGAUCAGGCUGGCCUCAAACUCAGAGAUCCUCCUGCCUCU
rnacentral:sRNA from 1 species